rnacentral:rRNA from 1 species
AGAGUUUGAUCCUGGCUCAGGACGAACGCUGGCGGCGCGCCUAACACAUGCAAGUCGAACGGAGUUAAGAGGAGCUUGCUUUUCUUAACUUAGUGGCGAACGGGUGAGUAACGCGUGAGUAACCUGCCCUGGAGUGGGGGACAACAGUUGGAAACGACUGCUAAUACCGCAUAAGCCCACGGAGCCGCAUGGCUUUGGGGGAAAAGGAUUUAUUCGCUUCAGGAUGGACACGCGUCCAAUUAGCUAGUUGGUGAGGUAACGGCCCACCAAGGCGACGAUUGGUAGCCGGACUGAGAGGUUGAACGGCCACAUUGGGACUGAGACACGGCCCAGACUCCUACGGGAGGCAGCAGUGGGGGAUAUUGCACAAUGGGGGAAACCCUGAUGCAGCGACGCCGCGUGGAGGAAGAAGGUUUUCGGAUUGUAAACUCCUGUCGUUAGGGACGAUAAUGACGGUACCUAACAAGAAAGCACCGGCUAACUACGUGCCAGCAGCCGCGGUAAAACGUAGGGUGCAAGCGUUGUCCGGAAUUACUGGGUGUAAAGGGAGCGCAGGCGGACCGGCAAGUUGGAAGUGAAAACUAUGGGCUCAACCCAUAAAUUGCUUUCAAAACUGCUGGCCUUGAGUAGUGCAGAGGUAGGUGGAAUUCCCGGUGUAGCGGUGGAAUGCGUAGAUAUCGGGAGGAACACCAGUGGCGAAGGCGACCUACUGGGCACCAACUGACGCUGAGGCUCGAAGGCAUGGGUAGCAAACAGGAUUAGAUACCCUGGUAGUCCAUGCCGUAAACGAUGAUUACUAAGUGUUGGAGGAUU